GUGGGCGUCUUCUAAUGGUUAGGAAAUCUCGUUGUGGCUUAGCAAUCCCGUGAAAAUGCCGGUUCGAUUCCGGCCGCCCACA